AAUUGCAUGUCUCACCAGGAAUGAUACGGAGAAGCUGGUGAAACAAAAGCUUUUAGCCUGAGCCAAUGUAUAUAUUUAAGCACACUCUAAGGAGCUACUUAUUAUAAAUCACAUUUGUCUGUCCUUAUAUAUACACACAUAUAUAUGUAUAUAUAUGUUGCAUAGUAGAAACCUAGAACCACUUCACUGAGGAUUAUAGACUGACUCAGAGUUUAAAAUGGUCCUCUGAGUCAGACUAAAAUGAUGCUAUUGGCAUAAAGUUGGGCUCAGGCCUUCUAUUUUAAUGAGCAUCAUCAUCUUGAUUUCUUGGGCUGGUGAUCUUCUCACCUGAAUUUCCAACGGAGUGACUAAUUUUAAGCAAGAUAUAAAAACAUCUGCUAACCUGUCACCUUGAGGCAUAUGCUUACUUCCACCAGCCACCCAUCCCAUCUCUUUGGGCCUUUACUUCAAAAUGUAAAUCCCAAUUUUCACUUAAUUUUCAGUGUCACUUUGAAAUGCAACUUUAUCCUGACUAGAGUUUGUUCUUACCGUGGCACCUCUCCUGUGCCUGCCUGGAACAGUAUCUUCUGAGCUGUGAAAACUGGUUUACUGUUUGCAUAUUAACCCAGCAGAGCUGACACAGCUGGGUGCUCUUCCUUAGAAAACUUCCUCAACAGACUUGUUUUACUAACCUGCAGUCUGUUAAGGGUAGCAAGGUUAAAUCAGCACCUCUUUGGUGACAGGGGUCACCAAAUUUUACUCGCAGGUGGAUGGCAACUCAGCUUGACUCUAUUUCAGUUUCCAGAGCUGGAGUUGUGAGCAAAACAAAAUGAUCUUUCAACUUUCAAAUCAAUGAGGGCAGAGCAGUCAUUAAAAGCUAGUAUGUGCCAGGAUCCAUAAUGAAAUUUUGCAAUCACUCAUUUUCCAGAAGAAAAACAAGUUAGAGCAAAAGGUGCUUUUCCUGUUAAUGCCUCAUCCUUUCCCUAAGUAAAGUCUCAGGAGCCAGUGGAUCUUGUCUGAGUGAUAAAGGGGGCAUUUGACGGGGGAGGAGAGGAGUGUUUAAAAAGCAACAACAUCAGCAAGGGUUAGAGAUCAGCUGGGGUAGCCAUUCAUGCCCCGCUAGUCAUGGCAGCAGGAGCCCUCCCAUGGGCAGACCCCUGCUUCAGGAGCAGGGGUGGCUGUUGACUCCCAGGCAGAGCUGUGGGGAAUUCCAUUUCUUGUGUGAGUCCUCCGUUCUCCUGAGCAGCACCUGGGUGCCUGCCAGCUCUUUAUAAAUGGUGAGGCAAAACAAUGAGGGCGUUUACUUAUUUAGACUUGCAGGAAGAGAUUGUGAAUUUAAUCAAAACAGCUGCCAAAAGCUGGGAUUCAUGACCAGCCUGGCGCUCAAGCACAUUCAUUUCACUUGAACUGUGUGAUUUCUAUGGCAUGCCUGUGCAAUCACAACCCAACCAUUCACCAGUGUCUACAGUGUUUGUUCAGGUAAGGGGUUUAGUACGUAAACACACCAUCAUGAGCUGGCACUUGCAGUACUGAAGCAGGUUUGCUAUUUUCUUCCUUGACAUCUUUAAUACAACACUCAAGUUGCUGCAGGCUUGGGAGCAUGGAGUGUCCUCUGAAAAUACUAUGCUUCUCAUAGUAGCUGAGGUGACUUAGCUAUUUAAUAAGGAAGAAAUUAGAUGACUCAAAUACUGUCAUUUUAGGACCUUAACUACAGUCUGCUGCAGCCAACAGAGAAACUGAUGCUGUCCUAAGGAGCUCUGGGCCCAUGUCUGAUGGAGAGGGAACCCCGAGACCGCAGUAGUGGGUUGCUGCAGCCUCAGCUAUAAAGGUGUAUGAGCACCCAGCAUCUCUUGAGCUUUGUCACAAUGAGGUUUGAACAGGGAUAAAACUAACGCAGAUUAUAAAACUUUUGCCCAUGUAUUUAUAGUUGCUUCAUCUAGUGCAUUGAUGAAGGAGCCUCUGACUGCAAGGACAGCAGUAACUGGAACAAACAAACAGCGCAUAAAUGGGGUAUUACUAUACUCUUUUGAGCAGGCAAACUGCAACAAAGGUAGGUAAGGUCAAAACUGUCAGACUUGGUGCUUUCUGCUAGUUCAAUAAAUUAAUCAGCCAAGGAAAGAAGAAUGUGGGACUGCCAUCCUUUACAUGCUCCGCCCCUCCACUCAGCUUGCUUCCUGUUCCCUGAAACGUUUGAAAACAAAUAAGCCAGUAAAGAGUGCUACAAAUAUUAAAUGAGCCUGCUGCUCAUAACUACUAAGGACGAAGGUUGGGUGAAACGCCCUGCCUGUUUUCCGACUCAGCCUGAGCUGCCGUGCAGUCCUGGAGUCACCAUAAAUGAGAGGUCAGCAUCACUUUCACAAAGCCAUAAAGAAAACAUCUUGAGAAACAUUAGGAACCAGUGCAAAUCAGGAUAGGUUUGCCCUUCAGAAAAACCUUGCUAGAUAUAUCCAGAUUUGUUUUUACAAAUCCCUUACAAUUACGGAAAAGAGAAUUUUUACAUGCUUUGAACUAUCCUAUGUAUCUGAAGUUUUGGUUUCCCUGAGUGUAUUUAUGUUUUCUCUCUGAUUUAUCUUGAGCAAUAAUUGUUAAGUAAAAUGAGUCCAGCUGGGCAAAGUUGCCUAGUUUUAUACAUUCUUUUACAACCCUUAUCAGGACUAACAAGAAGGGGUAAAAUGUUGCAAUCAAACAACCCACAGAGAUACCGCCAGUCCUGACGCUGCCAUCCUUUUUUGCCUGUAAUUUCAGUUUUUUAUCACUGUUGGGAUUUAUUGUGCCAGGUAUUUAACAGGUUUCUCACGCAGCACAGCAUGAAGGGCUGGAAAUGCAGGCCCUGGCUAAUUAAAAAGUCACCUUUUUUCCAGCCUGAUCUGUUUUAACUCUGCAGAGGUGCCAGCGUAUGUGUCUUUCAUCACCUAACUGCAGAGGCAGAUAUACCACCACAGAGCCUAACCUCUGGAUUCAUCUUUCGUUCUUACCUUUUUAUUUCUUCUGCCUGUACCUCUUUGUGCUUUAGACAUUGGCUUUCUGUGCGAAGCUUUCUUGGCAGCCACAGGUGGAGAGAAGGUUUAAACUGAGUGCAACAGGGGUUUCUGUGAGGUCUUUGCAAUAAAGAGGCAGCAAGUCUCUCUUUCAA